UCCACGCCGGCCGCGGCACCCCCGCUCCCCCACCGGUGCGCGCUCGCCAGGAGCUGCUGAAACCCCCGUCGCGCAGGGGCGAGGCGGCCGCGCAGAUCCCGCGCGAUAACCGCGGGCGCGCUGCCCGGGGCAACACUGCCCGGCUCGCCCAGGCUGUACUGCCCGGAGCGCGGCCUGCACCGCCGGCCGGCAAAGGCAUAGCCCCUCCGAGGGAGCCGAUGCCUGGCGAAGAGUCUCGGGGAUGUCGGUGAAGGCAUCUGGGGGGCCAGAGGGGCGGCAGCGUGCAGGGGCCGGGCCCCAUUGCCAGAGGGCCCUCCGGGUCAUUUCCUUGCAGGCGAGCAGAUCGCUGGGGAAUGAGAUGCAGAUUUACCCUUGACGCUGUGCACGCAUGGCUGAGGCUUCAGGAAGGAAGGAAGAAAAGCGCUGCCCGGCAGGCUCGGCGCUGCCCCCGCUCCUCGGGCCGACCACCCCCGCUGUCCCCCGCGCCCCAAGAGGUAUCGUCUCCAGUCCUCGCUUUCCUGCUUCGUCCUGCAGUGGGAACCAGCUUUUCGGACAGACAUCCUCAUGAGCUCGAGUCCUCCCUAUUUUGGAGAGAGACGAAAAAUAGCUAUAAUGAAGUGCAUACAAAGAACGCGCCUCGUUUACACAUGGCAACCAGGAAAGGACGCCUGAGCUUUGAAGAUGCCUGCUAUCGCGUUUUCGAUCAUGUUUCCCCACAUAUUACACCACGAAUUCUCCAUGUGUGGUAGUUUCAGAGUUAUACGUUUUUGUCUUGAAGAUGUUAUUUUGUUUUCCCUUGCUUUUAUGUAUUUAUGAAUUGAUUUAUGUAAACGAAAGUAAAGAUGAAUCUUUGUUCACUCCCUCCUUCACCACACAUGCCUGUGAAUUAUUCGGUAUAAUGCGUGUGCACGAGACUGUGCAUAUGUGCAAACAUAUAUUAACACAACCAAAGGGUAGGAAUUAAAUUAUUCAGUUUGAUAGUAAAAGUAAUUUCCAUAGAAGAACUGCAUUCCGUCAUUCAAGAGAGACGCUUGGUUUUCUUUCUGCUAUUUUGAAAUAAACGUACGCCAUAUUAAACACAGGUAAACAAAAGGAAAAAAUACACAAGGUAAAAUCUGCCAGUCUUCCUGAUAUAAAAUAUUAAAAGGAUGGUUUGGGUUUGGUGAAAAUUUAUUAACAGAGACUCUGCUGGAAUCAACAUAAUGGACUGUUGUGUAGAAGA